UACGUAGGCAGCAAGCGUUGUUCGGAGUUACUGGGCGUAAAGGGUGCGUAGGCGGCUUCUUAAGUUUGGUGUGAAAUCCCUCGGCUUAACCGAGGAACUGCCCUCCAAACUGCGUGGCUUGAGUCCGGGAGAGGUGAGUGGAAUUCCCAGUGUAGCGGUGAAAUGCGUAGAUAUUGGGAGGAACACCAGUGGCGAAGGCGGCUCACUGGACCGGAACUGACGCUGAGGCGCGAAAGCGUGGGGAGCAAACGGG
rnacentral:rRNA from 1 species